CUCUCUAGAUCUCUUGAAUUAAAUCUUCAAAUUGUAGAAAUGCUUGAUAGGAAAUCAUCUAUCGAGAGCGAGCCAAGAACAUUGGACUUUCAUCAAUUAAGUCAUGCAAGGGAAGAAGCAUUAUAUGUUUUGAGGACAAGGAACGUAGAGGAUGCUUUGCGAUUUUUUAUGGAGGGAUUGGAGGAUGUGAAAGUAAAAGAUCAGGAGAGUGUGAAGAAUGAAUCAACAUCCGGCAGGAGGUAAAGAAUGAUUGGUUGCACGACCAUGAAAAGUUCGUCGGUAGGCGGUUAAGUUUAGCGACUGGAAGGGAUAUAUUAUAGGCGCCCUUUUAAAUAGGGAAUAAUCGAUGAGUGAUUGAAUUUCUUGAAA